UGCAACGUUUCUAUGCAGCCUCUGUUUCUCUCCAGGGAGAAGCUGACCUGUUUCUGCUCUCUGGGCCAAGCUGUGCACGUCCCCCAUUUCAUUUUAAGCCUGUCUUGCCUCAUCUCCUUUUGAACUGAAGAGAAUGUAGCUGGUUGGCCCAAGGUUCAUUGAGAGAAGGAUACUUGCUGUCAAUCCUUUUCUCUGCUGGAUCGCUGGAAUACUUGCAAGUCACUCAGUCCCUAGUUCCUGUUUGUUUCCUGAAGGUCUCUGUCUACCUUCCAAGUCCCAAGUGGAGUGAUUUAAGUCGGUGAAUGGCGCUGUAACCUGCUUGCAGUGAGGAGUAGUAAGAAUCCUGCUUCCCUUCACCUGUUUGCAGCAUCAAUACUCCAACUUCCUGUUGCUGUCUUAA